rnacentral:rRNA from 1 species
GCCCUUGCUCAGUAACACGUGGAUAACCUACCCUUAGGACUGGGAUAACCUUGGGAAACUGAGGAUAAUACCGGAUAGGCAAUUUUUCCUGUAAUGGUUUUUUGUUUAAAUGUUUUUUUUUCGCCUAAGGAUGGGUCUGCGGCCGAUUAGGUAGUUGGUUAGGUAAUGGCUUACCAAGCCGUUGAUCGGUACGGGUUGUGAGAGCAAGAGCCCGGAGAUGGAACCUGAGACAAGGUUCCAGGCCCUACGGGGUGCAGCAGGCGCGAAACCUCCGCAAUGUGAGAAAUCGCGACGGGGGGAUCCCAAGUGUCAUUCUUAACGGGAUGGCUUUUCAUUAGUGUAAAGAGCUUUUGGAAUAAGAGCUGGGCAAGACCGGUGCCAGCCGCCGCGGUAACACCGGCAGCUCUAGUGGUAGCAGUUUUUAUUGGGCCUAAAGCGUCCGUAGCCGGUUUAAUAAGUCUCUGGUGAAAUCCUGUAGCUUAACUGUGGGAAUUGCUGGAGAUACUAUUAGACUUGAGAUCGGGAGAGGUUAGAGGUACUCCCAGGGUAGAGGUGAAAUUCUGUAAUCCUGGGAGGACCGCCUGUUGCGAAGGCGUCUAACUGGAACGAUUCUGACGGUGAGGGACGAAAGUUAGGGGCGCGAACCGGAUUAGAUACCCGGGUAGUCCUAACUGUAAACGAUGCGGACUUGGUGUUGGGGUGACUUUGAGUUGCUCCAGUGCCGAAGGGAAGCUGUUAAGUCCGCCGCCUGGGAAGUACGGUCGCAAGACUGAAACUUAAAGGAAUUGGCGGGGGAGCACAAGGGC